rnacentral:rRNA from 1 species
GUGCCAGCAGCCGCGGUAAUACGUAGGGGGCGAGCGUUGUUCGGAUUUACUGGGCGUAAAGAGCGCGUAGGUGGUUCGAUCAGUCGGAGGUGAAAGCCCUCGGCUUAACCGAGGAUCCGCGUCCGAUACUGUCGAACUUGAGUGCAGGAGAGGAGAGCGGAAUUCCCAGUGUAGCGGUGAAAUGCGUAGAUAUUGGGAGGAACACCGGUGGCGAAGGCGGCUCUCUGGACUGCUACUGACACUGAGGCGCGAAAGCUAGGGGAGCAAACGGGAUUAGAAACCCCAGUAGUCC